rnacentral:rRNA from 1 species
GGCGUGCCUAAUACAUGCAAGUCGAGCGAGCUUGCCUAGAUGAAUUUGGUGCUUGCACCAAAUUGAAACUAGAUACAAGCGAGCGGCGGACGGGUGAGUAACACGUGGGUAACCUGCCCAAGAGACUGGGAUAACACCUGGAAACAGAUGCUAAUACCGGAUAACAACACUAGACGCAUGUCUAGAGUUUAAAAGAUGGUUCUGCUAUCACUCUUGGAUGGACCUGCGGUGCAUUAGCUAGUUGGUAAGGUAACGGCUUACCAAGGCAAUGAUGCAUAGCCGAGUUGAGAGACUGAUCGGCCACAUUGGGACUGAGACACGGCCCAAACUCCUACGGGAGGCAGCAGUAGGGAAUCUUCCACAAUGGACGCAAGUCUGAUGGAGCAACGCCGCGUGAGUGAAGAAGGGUUUCGGCUCGUAAAGCUCUGUUGGUAGUGAAGAAAGAUAGAGGUAGUAACUGGCCUUUAUUUGACGGUAAUUACUUAGAAAGUCACGGCUAACUACGUGCCAGCAGCCGCGGUAAUACGUAGGUGGCAAGCGUUGUCCGGAUUUAUUGGGCGUAAAGCGAGUGCAGGCGGUUCAAUAAGUCUGAUGUGAAAGCCUUCGGCUCAACCGGAGAAUUGCAUCAGAAACUGUUGAACUUGAGUGCAGAAGAGGAGAGUGGAACUCCAUGUGUAGCGGUGGAAUGCGUAGAUAUAUGGAAGAACACCAGUGGCGAAGGCGGCUCUCUGGUCUGCAACUGACGCUGAGGCUCGAAAGC